rnacentral:rRNA from 1 species
AUUGAACGCUGGCGGCAGGCCUAACACAUGCAAGUCGAGCGAGCGGCGGACGGGUGAGUAAUGUAGGGGGACUGCCCGAUAGAGGGGGAUAACUACUGGAAACGGUGGCUAAUACCGCAUACUAUCGGAUAACCCAUAUGGGAUUAGCUUGUAGGUGGGGUAAAGGCUCACCUAGGCGACGAUCUCUAGCUGGUCCGAGAGGAUGAUCGGCCACACUGGGCCGGGGACACGGCCCAGACUCCUACGGAGGAAGAAGUGGGGAAUAUUGCACAAUGGGGGCAAGCCUGAUGCGGCAAUGCCGCGGGUAUGAAGAGGGCCUUAGGGUGGUAAGGUACUUUCAGCGGGGAGGCGUUACCCGAAGAAGAAGCAGCGGCUAACUCCGUGCCAGCAGCCGCGGUAAUAC